rnacentral:misc_RNA from 1 species
GAUGAAGAACGCAGUGAAAUGCGAUAAGUAAUGUGAAUUGCAGAAUUCAGUGAAUCAUCGAAUCUUUGAACGCACAUUGCGCCCGCCAGUAUUCUGGCGGGCAUGCCUGUCCGAGCGUCAUUUCAACCCUCGCGCCCAUCUGGGCUGCGGUGUUGGGGACCGGCCUGCCCCCCCGGGGCGCGCCGCCCCCCAAAUUCAGUGGCGGUCUCGCUGCAGCCUCCCUUGCGUAGUAGCACACCUCGCACCGGAGCGCAGCGCGGCCACGCCGUAAAACCCCCGACCCCCAUGAGUUUGACCUCGGAUCAGGUAGGAAUACCCGCUGAACUUAAGCAUAUCAAUAAGCGGAGGA